CUUAACCAGUUCUCGGUUAAACACUACUUGCACGUGCUGAAUUAGUAAUAAUCAGUGCGCAACUGCAAGGACAAUGUAGCCUACCUUAAAUGGUAAUGUAAAUAUUUAUAUAUUUCCAGGAGCUAGUGUGUAUAGAAUAUGGGUAG
rfam:Erysiphe necator strain c c-strain-scaffold_14, whole genome shotgun sequence.